CUAAAAUCAUUUUUUUUAGAAUGCAAUCUAGACAAUAAAUAUCAUUCGAUAUAUUGCAAAUACCCCUAAUGUACAAUGAUUUAAAUUCUGUGAACAACAGGUUCCCAUGGUUUAAGAAAGCCUAUGCCAGUUUCAUUCUGGAAAAGUAUUGGCAACAAAGAGUUUAACAAAUAUAGGCCAUGAUUUAAUAUUGUCGGAUAAGAUUUUCAUAUGAUUUAAUAUUUGUG